GACGAACGCUGGCGGCGUGCCUAAUACAUGCAAGUAGAACGCUGAAGGAGGAGCUUGCUUCUCUGGAUGAGUUGCGAACGGGUGAGUAACGCGUAGGAACCUUCCCGGGAGCGGGGGGUUACCUAUUGAAACGAAUACCUAUAACGCAUUAUUAGAGAAUGUUCCUUACCAUUUCUUAAAAGGUUCAAUUUCAUUACUACCCGAUGGACCUGCGUUGUAUUAGCUAGUUGGUGGGGUAACGGCUCACCAAGGCGACGAUACAUAGCCGACCUGAGAGGGUGAUCGGCCACACUGGGACUGAGACACGGCCCAGACUCCUACGGGAGGCAGCAGUAGGGAAUCUUCGGCAAUGGACGGAAGUCUGACCGAGCAACGCCGCGUGAGUGAAGAAGGUUUUCGGAUCGUAAAGCUCUGUUGUAAGAGAAGAACGAGUGUGAGAGUGGAAAGUUCACACUGUGACGGUAUCUUACCAGAAAGGGACGGCUAACUACGUG
rnacentral:rRNA from 1 species